rnacentral:rRNA from 16 species
GGUAGAGCACUGAACGAGGUAGGGGCCUGUCCGGCUACCGAACUUAAUCAAACUGCGAAUGGCUGUACUUAUACAUGGGAGUCAGACUGCGAGUAAUAAGGCCCGUAGUCAAGAGGGAAACAGCCCAGACCAACAGCUAAGGUCCCCAAUGCCGUACUAAGUGGCGAAGGAUGUGGAAUUUCGAAAACAACCAGGAUGUUGGCUUAGAAGCAGCCACCAUUAAAA